UACGUAGGGGGCAAGCGUUGUCCGGAUUUAUUGGGCGUAAAGAGCGUGUAGGCGGUUCGGUAGGUCCGUUGUGAAAACUCGAGGCUCAACCUCGAGACGCCGAUGGAAACCCUCGAACUAGAGUCCGGAAGAGGAGAAUGGAAUUCCUGGUGUAGCGGUGAAAUGCGCAGAUAUCAGGAGGAACACCGAUGGCGAAGGCAGGUCUCUGGGCCACUACUGACGCUGAGAAGCGAAAGCAUGGGGAGCGAGCAGG
rnacentral:rRNA from 1 species